UACGGAGGGAGCUAGCGUUGUUCGGAAUUACUGGGCGUAAAGCGCACGUAGGCGGCUUUUUAAGUCAGGGGUGAAAUCCCGGGGCUCAACCCCGGAACUGCCCUUGAAACUGGAAGGCUAGAAUCUUGGAGAGGCGAGUGGAAUUCCGAGUGUAGAGGUGAAAUUCGUAGAUAUUCGGAAGAACACCAGUGGCGAAGGCGGUUUCCUGGAGCCCACUUGACGCUGAGACGCGAAAGCUGGGGGAGCAAACGGG
rnacentral:rRNA from 1 species